UACGUAGGGUGCGAGCGUUUAAUCGGAAUUACUGGGCGUAAAGCGUGCGCAGGCGGUUCGCCAAGUCAGGUGUGAAAUCCCCCGGGCUUAACCUGGGAAUUGCGCUUGAAACUAGCGGGCUUGAGUGUGGCAGAGGGGGGUGGAAUUCCACGUGUAGCAGUGAAAUGCGUAGAGAUGUGGAGGAACACCGAUGGCGAAGGCAGCCCCCUGGGUCAACACUGACGCCUCAUGCACGAAAGCGUGGGGAGCAAACAGG
rnacentral:rRNA from 1 species